CAGACACAACUUUAGUGCUAUUUAUUGAAUAGUUUCUUAUAACAUGAUUUAUUGACUGGUACAAGUAUUGGGUUUUGAGAAACUACAUAUUUAUUUUGUAUGUAUUGCAGAUCAGAUGAUCAAGUCUUCCAUAUUUGGCCAAAACAGAUAUGCAAAGUGAACAUAAAGAAAGACUUUUCAAUCUUAUGCCAUAUCAUUGUACCAUAUACAAUAUAAGUAUGUAAGAUUCCCCAUCUUCAUCACACUUAAAUUAGCACUGAUGUAAAUCUGUGAAAAAACUUUAUGGUACAAGCAAAAAAUUGUAAACAUGCCGAGGCAUUAUUUUCCUGUGAUUUCACUACAUUAUACAAUUAAAAAGUUUAAUAAUUGAAAGGGCUAAUAUCUAACUACACUAACGUGAUUUUUUAAGAAGAAUGAAGAUCUAAAACAAACUGCCAUAAAGUGAUCAACAGAAACAAACAAAAAAAAAACUUCCUGAAUAACUGAAGACAAUAACUUCUUGUGCACUAGGAUUGUUUUUUAAACUUUUACAGCUUCAACUCCAUUGUUUUCAUACCUAAAUGUUCACUUCUGGGUCAGAGGUUUCAGGCACAUUUUCUGUUUAAUGGAGGGAGACUUGAGAUUAUGGUAACAUAUGAUAUGACACCGUUUCACAGAAAACCUGAAUCCAGAUUACAGGCCCUGUUUGCUCCGAGUCCCAGCGCUCCCAUUCUUAAAGAACCAAAUAAACAUGAGCACAUUUGUCGAAGACUUGCUGUCUUAAUCACAAAUGUCUUUGU
rnacentral:lncRNA from 1 species